GAUGAACGCUGGCGGCGUGCCUAAUACAUGCAAGUCGAGCGAACAGAUAAGGGGCUUGCUCCUUUGACGUUAGCGGCGGACGGGUGAGUAACACGUGGGUAACCUACCUAUAAGACGGGGAUAACUUCGGGAAACCGGCGCUAAUACCGGAUAACAUUUGGAACCGCAUGGUUCUAAAGUGAAAGAUGGUUUUGCUAUCACUUAUAGAUGGACCCGCGCCGUAUUAGCUAGUUGGUAAGGUAACGGCUUACCAAGGCGACGAUACGUAGCCGACCUGAGAGGGUGAGCGGCCACACUGGAGCUGAGACACGGUCCAGACUCCUACGGGAGGCAGCAGUAGGGAAGCUGCCGCAAGGGGCGAAAGCCUGACGGAGCAACGAAGCGUGAGUGAUGAAGGGUUUCGGCUCGUAGAACGCUGUUAUUAGGGAAGAACAAAUGUGUAGGUAACUGUGCACGUCUUGACGGUACCUAAUAAGAAAGCCACGGCUAACUACGU
rnacentral:rRNA from 1 species